UAGCCAUAUUUCACACUCGUUGCACUCUGAACAAUCAAUAGAGAAUCACUUCUAGCAAUCUAUUAUGAUUCAUUUCCAGAUGCAUUAAUCUAUUCUCUUUGUUAGUACUUUUCUUGGUAUUUUAGGUUUUCUUGGGGCUUAGUUAUAGAAUAGGGUUUUGGAGUGGGUUUGUGGAGGGGUGAUUAGAAAGUUGAAACUCUUUUGCCGCGAAUAAAUCUGCAGUAACAUGCCUAUCAUUUCACUUCAGAGCCAAUGCAUUUGGGUAAUGUCUCAAAAUUUGUUUUGUAUUUGGUUGUUUCGGCUUUUUUGGUUGAAGGAAUCUGCAAUAUAUCAUGCUUCCCCAAUGAUGUUGUGCCUGAGGAUCAUUUAAACGACUCUGAUCAAUCCUCCACCAUAGCUGGUUGUUCUACUUGCUGUGACCAUGCCAUGACAUCCGAAAACACAGAGGACCAGGUUUGACACCUUUGGAUUGCAUACCAGAAUUUUCCAUGUUCUUCAGCUCUCAAUAACUCAUCUUCAGAGGAGAAAGGGAAGUGAGGAAAAUUUGUAAGUGAAGAAUUUGACAGAUUGCGAUGGGCACCAGUUAUGCUGGUAAUUUUCUUGAACCUGACACUAAUUUCAGGUUUCUCAGGGUCCAGGAGUUGAAGCCAUGCAAACAUGCAUCAUGCUAAUGUCGUCCUGAGCUUCCAGAUUAGGCCCUGCUGUAUUGAUCAAUAUAUUCAGCAUGAUGACAGCAUUAUUUCUAUACAUGGGGAUAUUGUGUAUCCGGAUAAGAAUAGCAUUAUUUGUAGGCUGGAGGCUAUAGAAAAAUAUUUCAGCCUUGAAAUAGUCAAGGACAUUGUGGAAGCCAUGGAAAGUGAAGCAUCUAAGUUAGAUGAGGAUUGUUGUACCUUGGCCAUGAAAUGAUUGAGAGAGCCCUAUCCAGUUCUGUUGAGAGCCUCACAGUGUUUGAUGAAUUGCAAGCUACAAAUGCUUUGCUGUAGAUAUGAAUUGCAAGCUUACAGAAAAGGUUGUGCACUGUGGGCUAAAAAGUCCCAUUAACCAGGAAGCUUGAAGGAUACUAAUAUUAGAAAUUCCACAAAUGACACAAUAGAUAUGCUACAACUUUGGCUCUACUUACACUACCUGUAUAUGACUACAAAACUGCAGCUGUGAGAAGAUAGAAUGGCAUCACUUCAAGGGAUGUGAUGCGAUGCUGAAUCUAAUAUUGGAAAGUCGAGCCCUUUGUUCUUCAAUUGCCCUAUUUGCAAAGAUUAUGACCUUUCAAUUUGUCAUCAAUUAUUUAUGACACCAAUGCAUUCUCUUGGUGUAUGCACCAAAGCAAUUUGUACGCGGAAUUACUUAUAUUUUUUAUAUAAUGAAAGCAUUGUGUUCAUGUUUGAAUUAAAAGUCUAACAAACUGAGGUUUUAGUAGGGGAUGCUUUGCAUUGAUAAUAAAGUGCCCAUUACUUUGUAGUUACAUGGGAUAUUUGUUGCA